AUUGAACGCUGGCGGAAUGCUUUACACAUGCAAGUCGAACGGCAGCACGGACUUCGGUCUGGUGGCGAGUGGCGAACGGGUGAGUAAUGUAUCGGAACGUGCCCAGUCGUGGGGGACAACGUAGUGAAAAUUACGCUAAUACCGCAUACGAUCUAAGGAUGAGAGCGGGGGAUCGCAAGACCUCGCGCGAUUGGAGCGGCCGAUAUCAGAUUAGGUAGUUGGUGGGGUAAGGGCCCACCAAGCCAACGAUCCGUAGCUGGUCUGAGAGGACGACCAGCCACACUGGAACUGAGACACGGUCCAGACUCCUACGGGAGGCAGCAGUGGGGAAUUUUGGACAAUGGGCGAAAGCCUGAUCCAGCCAUUCCGCGUGCAGGAUGAAGGCCCUCGGGUUGUAAACUGCUUUUGUACAGAACGAAAAGGUUUCUACUAAUACUAGGAGCUCAUGACGGUACUGUAAGAAUAAGCACCGGCUAACUACGUGCCAGCCGCCGCAGUAA
rnacentral:rRNA from 1 species